rfam:Echinococcus multilocularis genomic scaffold, pathogen_EmW_scaffold_08
UGACCUCGGAUCAGGGGUGGGUACCCGCUGAACUUAAGCAUAUCAAUAAGCGGAGGAGAAGAAACCAACCAGGAUUCCCUCAGUAACGGCGAGUGAAGAGGGAGAAGCCCAGUGCCGAAGCCUGCGGCAGGUUUGUCGGUAGGCCAUGUGGUGUGCGGGUUGGCUGGCGGGACCGCCGCUCCACUCCAAGUCCAGCAUUGAGUAUGGUUGUGAGUGAAUGUGGCCCAUAGAGGGUGAUAGGCCCGUAGGAGUGGGGGCUCAGGCAGGUGAGGCGGUUCACCAGGCCGGCUCAGGAGUCGGGUUGUUUGAGAUUGCAGCCCAAAGUGGGUGGUAAACUCCAUCCAAGGCUAAAUACAGGCACGAGUCCGAUAGCGGACAAGUACCGUGAGGGAAAGUUGAAAAGUACUCUGAAGAGAGAGUAAAGAGUGCGUGAAACCGCGUGCAGGUAAGCGGGUGGCGUCAAGCUGCUAGCCGGGAGGACUCAGCUGGCUGCAGUGUAGUGUGCGCGCCUAGUGCGUCACCGUUAAUGGGCCGGGGAGAGGCGGUGGUCUGCUCCUUGUGGGGGAGCGGAGCAUGACUGCGAUCGCGGGCCACUGUUUCGCCUUCACCACGCCGCCGCCUAUUCUAUCUGUCUGUCUGCCCAUCUAUCUAUCUGUCCGCCUGUGUGCGCCCAUCUCUGCUGAGGUGGGUGGGCUGGUGGAUGGGUGGGUGGGUGGGUGCGUGCGUGAAUAUGCGGAGGGCGGGGUGGUGUGAGUGGUCGGUGGAUGCGAGGUUGUGGUCUGUGCUAUGCGUGUCGGACGGGCGCCGGAGCAUGCCACUCGCCCGUGGGCCUUGCAGUCAGUGCACUUUCUCCGUGGCGAACACCACGACCGGUGGGGUUGCCAGUCUGCCGUGGUCGAGUCGUGCCCACCUGGUAGUCCUUCUCCUCCUCCUCCUCCUCCUGCUCCUGCUCCCCGUCGCUCGAUUGGUCGGUGAGUUGGCUUCACCGCUGACUGGCUGGCUGGCCGGCCGGCCGGCUGACGGACAGGUGGGUGGGGUGGAUGGGUCAGGUGGGCAGGAUCGCGGAUAGGUGAGCGGACGGCGCGGUGGUGCUGCGGUGUUGCCGCGUGCUAUCGUGCGCUUCCUGUCAACGAGCUGCUGUUGUCUGCUGUGCUGUGACCGCACUGUUGGUGGCUUGGCGGGCUGCGGUGGUGUAGGUGACUGUGCAGGGCAUCGGUUUUAUCCGCCUCAUUCGCUCGCUCGAAUGCACGAGCGGUAAGGGUACCCGGCACGCACGUCACAGGUGCAGUGGAGCGGGGCGCGCGGCUGUUGGUCGGCGUGGGGCGUGGCUGCCGUGUUGCCUGCAGAAUGCGGGCUCGCCGGUGGUCCGUCGUCGCGUGUCACGGUGGGCGGCUUCGCGUUGCCUCGAGUGCAUGGGGUACCGGGGGUGGGAUAGUCGGUGGUGCGGUGGUAGACUAGCCACCUGACCCGUCUUGAAACACGGACCAGGGAGUUUAACAUGUGUGCGAGUCAAAGGGUGUGCUCGAGACCCCGAGGCGUAGUGAAAGUGAAGUCUGCGUCGUACGCGCGCGGUGCGAUGCGGCGAGGUGAGAUCCUGCUGUUGGCGUGCGGCCGGCCAGGCCAGGCUGGUGCGGGCGGCCUAUGGAGCAGUGGGCGCAUCACCGGCCCGUCCCAUGGUGUGGUCACUGGUGUGCGUUGGCGUGGUCGCGUGUGUCUGUGGCUGCGUCAGCUGGGCAGCCAGUGCGUCAUCGGGGCGGAGCGUGAGCAUGCAUGUUGAGACCCGAAAGAUGGUGAACUAUGCUUGCGUAGGUUGAAGCCAGAGGAAACUCUGGUGGAGGACCGUAGCGAUUCUGACGUGCAAAUCGAUCGUCAAACGUGAGUAUAGGGGCGAAAGACUAAUCGAACCGUCUAGUAGCUGGUUCCCUCCGAAGUUUCCCUCAGGAUAGCUGGCACUCAUUAGCAAAAUCAGUUUUAUCCGGUAAAGCGAAUGACUAGAGGUGCUGGGCUCGAAACGAGCUCAACCUAUUCUCAAACUUUCAAUGGGUGAGAUGUCCAACUCGCUUCAGACGCGUGCAUUGCAGCGGGUGGAGUUGGGCGUUGAAUGUGCGGGUGCCAAGUGGGCCAUUUUUGGUAAGCAGAACUGGCGCUGUGGGAUGAACCAAACGCCCGGUUAAGGUGCCUAACGCUGACGCUCAUGAGAUACCACAAAAGGUGUUGGUUAAUAUAGACAGCAGGACGGUGGCCAUGGAAGUCGGCAUCCGCUAAGGAGUGUGUAACAACUCACCUGCCGAAUUGACCAGCCCUGAAAAUGGAUGGCGCUGGAGCGUCGGACCUACACCGGGCCGUCAUCGCAAGCUGGAUUGGUGGCUGUGCGCGUUUGCGUCAUGGUCCAGGCGUGGAGUGCGAUGCUGAGUAGGAGGGUCGCCGUGGUGAGCGUGGAAGCCGCAGACGUGAGUCGUGGUGGAGCCGCCACGGGUGCAGAUCUUGGUGGUAGUAGCAA